UAUUUUAGGCAAUUCAGGGUUUGACCACCGCUGUGGGCUGUAACUUUUCCCAUAAUGUCGGCCAGCCUCCUCUUACAAACUAUCAUCGCCCCAAUAAUUGUACUAUUUCACACAAUAUCUCAAAUUUUCAAAAAUUGAAGCCUCCUUAUUUUGAUGGUGGACUAGACCCCAUGCUUACAGAAGUAUGGAUCAUCCAAAUAGAGAAGCUUUUGUCUAUUUUUAAGCU
rnacentral:lncRNA from 1 species